GACGGGUGAGUAAUGCUUAGGAAUCUGCCUAUUAGUGGGGGACAACAUUCCGAAAGGAAUGCUAAUACCGCAUACGUCNNNCGGGAGAAAGCNNNGGACCUUCGGGCCUUGCGCUAAUAGAUGAGCCUAAGUCGGAUUAGCUAGUUGGUGGGGUAAAGGCCUACCAAGGCGACGAUCUGUAGCGGGUCUGAGAGGAUGAUCCGCCACACUGGGACUGAGACACGGCCCAGACUCCUACGGGAGGCAGCAGUGGGGAAUAUUGGACAAUGGGGGGAACCCUGAUCCAGCCAUGCCGCGUGUGUGAAGAAGGCCUUUUGGUUGUAAAGCACUUUAAGCGAGGAGGAGGCUACUAGUAUUAAUACUACUGGAUAGUGGACGUUACUCGCAGAAUAAGCACCGGCUAACUCUGUGCCAGCAGCCGCGGUAAUACAGAGGGUGCGAGCGUUAAUCGGAUUUACUGGGCGUAAAGCGUGCGUAGGCGGCUGAUUAAGUCGGAUGUGAAAUCCCUGAGCUUAACUUAGGAAUUGCAUUCGAUACUGGUCAGCUAGAGUAUGGGAGAGGAUGGUAGAAUUCCAGGUGUAGCGGUGAAAUGCGUAGAGAUCUGGAGGAAUACCGAUGGCGAAGGCAGCCAUCUGGCCUAAUACUGACGCUGAGGUACGAAAGCAUGGGGAGCAAACAGGAUUAGAUACCCUGGUAGUCCAUGCCGUAAACGAUGUCUACUAGCCGUUGGGGCCUUUGAGGCUUUAGUGGCGCAGCUAACGCGANAA
rnacentral:rRNA from 1 species